rnacentral:rRNA from 1 species
GAUGAACGCUGGCGGCGUGCCUAAUACAUGCAAGUCGAGCGAACAGACGAGGAGCUUGCUCCUCUGACGUUAGCGGCGGAUGGGUGAGUAACACGUGGAUAACCUACCUAUAAGACUGGGAUAACUUCGGGAAACCGGAGCUAAUACCGGAUAAUAUAUUGAACCGCAUGGUUCAAUAGUGAAAGACGGUUUUGCUGUCACUUAUAGAUGGAUCCGCGCCGCAUUAGCUAGUUGGUAAGGUAACGGCUUACCAAGGCAACGAUGCGUAGCCGACCUGAGAGGGUGAUCGGCCACACUGGAACUGAGACACGGUCCAGACUCCUACGGGAGGCAGCAGUAGGGAAUCUUCCGCAAUGGGCGAAAGCCUGACGGAGCAACGCCGCGUGAGUGAUGAAGGUCUUCGGAUCGUAAAACUCUGUUAUUAGGGAAGAACAAAUGUGUAAGUAACUAUGCACGUCUUGACGGUACCUAAUCAGAAAGCCACGGCUAACUACGUG